AUUGAACGCUGGCGGAAUGCUUUACACAUGCAAGUCGAACGGCAGCACGGGGCAACCUGGUGGCGAGUGGCGAACGGGUGAGUAAUACAUCGGAACGUGCCCAAUCGUGGGGGAUAACGUAGCGAAAGUUACGCUAAUACCGCAUACGAUCUACGGAUGAAAGCGGGGGAUCGCAAGACCUCGCGCGAAUGGAGCGGCCGAUGUCAGAUUAGGUAGUUGGUGGGGUAAAGGCUCACCAAGCCAACGAUCUGUAGCUGGUCUGAGAGGACGACCAGCCACACUGGAACUGAGACACGGUCCAGACUCCUACGGGAGGCAGCAGUGGGGAAUUUUGGACAAUGGGCGAAAGCCUGACGCAGCCAUACCGCGUGUGUGAAGAAGGCCUUCGGGUUGUAAGCACUUCUAGUGGGGAGGGAAAAGGACUGGCGGCGUAAUAAUCCGCCGGCCGUGACGCUACCCACCAGAAGAAG
rnacentral:rRNA from 1 species